CAGUAGCCGCGGGAAUACGAGGGGGGCAAGCGUUGUUCGGAAUUAUUGGGCGUAAAGGGUGCGUAGGCGGUCUGAUAAGUCUUAUGUGAAAUCUAUGGGCUCAACCCAUAGUCUGCAUAGGAAACUGUCGGGCUUGAGAGUGGGAGAGGUGAGUGGAAUUUCCGGUGUAGCGGUGAAAUGCGUAGAUAUCGGAAGGAACACCUGUGGCGAAAGCGGCUCACUGGACCAUUUCUGACGCUGAUGCACGAAAGCUAGGGGAGCAAACAGGAUUAGAUACCCCCGUAGUCCCUGUCUCUUAUAC
rnacentral:rRNA from 1 species